rnacentral:rRNA from 1 species
UACGAAGGGGGCAAGCGUUAUUCGGAAUUAUUGGGCGUAAAGGGUGCGCAGGCGGCAUGCUAAGUCAGCUGUUUAAUUUCUCGGCCUAACUGAGAGUCAGCAGCAGAUACUGGUGUGCUAGAGGGUGGAAGAUAGAAGUGGAAUUCUCGGAGUAGCGGUAAAAUGCGUAGAUCUCGAGAGGAACACCAAUGGCGAAGGCAGCUUCUUGGUCCACACCUGACGCUCAUGCACGAAAGCGUGGGGAGCAAACAGG